AUUGAACGCUGGCGGAAUGCUUUACGCAUGUAAGUCGAACGGCAGCACGAGAGCUUGCUCUUGGUGGCGAGUGGCGAACGGGUGAGUAAUAUAUCGGAACGUAUCCAAUAAUGGGGGAUAACUAAUCGAAAGGUUAGCUAAUACCGCAUACGCCCUACGGGGGAAAGCAGGGGAUCUUCGGACCUUGCGUUAAUGGAGCGGCUGAUAUCUGAUUAGCUAGUAGGUGAGGUAAAGGCUCACCUAGGCUUCGAUCAGUAGCUGGUCUGAGAGGACGACCAGCCACACUGGAACUGAGACACGGUCCAGACUCCUACGGGAGGCAGCAGUGGGGAAUUUUGGACAAUGGGCGCAAGCCUGAUCCAGCCAUUCCGCGUGAGUGAAGAAGGCCUUCGGGUUGUAAAGCUCUUUCGCAAGGGAAGAAACGAUACCGACGAAUAAUCGGUGUUAAUGACGGUACCUUGAUAAGAAGCACCGGCUAACUACGUGCCAGCCGCCGCAGUAAAAC
rnacentral:rRNA from 1 species